UUGGCAGGAACAUGAACAAGGAGAGAUCAGUCCAACAUGCUGAUGGCGGCAAGGCGUGAGGCCGUGGAAAGCUGAGAGGAUACGAGAGGAGCAGUGGCUUUGCAGAAGAAGAGAGGAUAGAAGACAACAGCAGAGGAGCUUACCUCUGACCAGCAAAGACCAAUGUACCCAAAGCCAGGGAAGCAAGUCAUAAAGGAGAAGAAGCAGUUGUGAAAUCACAUAAAAACGUGAUGUUUGCUUUAUGUGCUUCCUUACAAUCAGACCUGCACUUGGCCUGACAAAGCAGACCAUACUCCAGAUAUCACUGGGCUUCCCUGAGGAUAAGGCUGCUGGGAGCUCUCCAACCCCUCAAGUAAUAAGAAAAAUAGCCCAGCUACUGAGCAGUUACUCUGUGCUGUGUAGAAUCUACAUGCCUUACCAGUUCUCACUAUCGCAUUUAAUACUUACAGCAGCUCUGGGAGAUGAGCUAUUAUUUUCCCACUUUUAUCAAUGAGGAGCGUGAGAUACAGAAGUAUUGGGGCAUUUCAUCCUUCCUCAAUUUCCUUUACCCUUAAGGCCUUGCAUUGACCUUGAGCCCCCUCAGCCUCAAUUUUUAGGGCCGGUGUUUAAAUUCUUACUGCAAAAAGCGACAAGCAACUAAUGGCUAUGACCAUCAGUUUUGUUCUUGUCAACACUGAGAGUCUGAUGUCGGAGCCAGCAGCUGGUGACAGGGGCAUCGGCAGGAAGGGGUGGAUCCUUUUGUGGACUGCCCAACAGAGGCCUCCGGUCUGGCUCCUGAGAUUUCUGAGAUGCACUGAAAGAAGAGAACAUUUAGAAGAGCCUGGCCUUAGGGAGCCUCUUUAAAGAGAAACACCCCUGAGGCACUUCCAGAUACCAGCCAGAGAAUGCAUUUCCUCCCACAAGCACACAACUUGGAGGGUACAUCUGAUUCUGUGAGAAAAAAAACUUCACCUCUACCUCCACAAAACAAAGUGGGAGCAAUGAUAAUGUUCUCCUCGAGGAGACUCCUAACCAUUGAAGAUGCAGUCUUCUUUGAGUGCUUCAAUUAUCAAAGAUGUCAGCUCUUAUAAAGGCUUCAGCCUUUUGCUCCUUCUGGGUGGAGAUUUCCACAUGGGAACCAUUUUGCUUGACUUUUGGGCCCUGGGAGCUGUUAGGGUUGCCUCUCCCUUCCUAGUCUAUCCUGGAAGGACAGGGAGUUCUACCCAGGCAGGCGGAUCAGCGAAUCACAAAAACACAAGCACGGCCAAGCCCCGCCCAGCAGGAGGGAGUCCUACAAUCACUUCCCCAGCUUUGCUCUGCCGGCUAGAGUUCUCAGAUGGACGGGGGUCGGGCGCAGUGGACUCCAAGAUGUCGCCAAGCCAAUCUUGAGGGAUGCAGAAAGCUGACUUGGCACUCAGCGGAGCAUCUCUUGCGGGAACCUUACUAGCAGCUUCUGAGAAGCCUGCAGACACUUUCCCUCCCUCUCCUUUGAAAAGUAACAGUGAUCCGGAAAUCAGAGGUAUCCUUCCCGGGGAUCAGGAC